CCUCAUCAGGUCCAGAAUAAACUGCUCUCUGGUUGAUUCUAGAAUGUGCAACUUCAAGAAAUUGCCCCAAAGCACUAUGAAAUCAACUUUCAAGUUCCUUUGUUUUAUCAAGAGUUCCCUACUUUUAUUCUGAAUUCCCCUUGUAAUGAAGGACAAUAUUGCAUUUGCCUUCCUAAUUACUUGCUAUCCUAAUAUGCUAACCUUUUGUGAAUAUGUACAAAGGCCGCCUGAUACCUAUGAAUUCUAACAUUCUACAAUCUACUCCACUUAAUUAUGCUGCUUUUCUAUAUUUCCUGCCGAAGUGGACAACCUCACAAUUUCCCACAUUAUACUCUAUAGGCCAUUGUUUUUUGUCCACUCACUCAACCUAUCUUUAUCCCUCUACAGGCCUUUUGUAACUUCUUCACAACCCCCAGAAAGUCCUGCCAUUGGUGCUCCACCAUCUUGUCUGUUGGGCUUCCCUUACAAUCAACUCUGACUAGCUCCUUCCUCAUGUCUUUGUAGUUACCUUUGCUCAAUUGUAAUACCAUUACAUCUGAUUCAAACUUCUCUCUCAAACUGCAGAGUGAAUUCUAUCAUAUUAUCGUCACUGUCCCCUAAGGCUUCCAUCACAUUAAGAACCCUAAUCGAGUCUGACUCAUUACAAAUGACCAAAUCCAGAAUCUCCUGUUCCCUAGUGGGCUCUGCCCCAAGCUCCAAAAAAAAUCUUGUAGACAUUUCAUGAAUUUCUUUUCUUGGGAUCUGUGACCAAUCUGAUUUCCACAGUCCACCUGCAUAUGGAAGUUCUCUAUGAUUAUUAUAAUAGUGCCUUUCUCACAUACAUUUUAAAUCUCCUGAUUUAGUUUCUACCCCAUACAUAACUGCCAUCAGGGUCAUUUUUUUUCUUUUACAAUUCCUCAACUCUAUCCACACAGAUUCUCUGCCUUACAACCCUAUACUGUUUCUUGCUAUUGAUUUAAUUUCAUUUCUUACAAACAAGGAAACUCUUCCACACUUGCCUAUCCUUUCAAUAGGAUGAAUAUCCUUGAAUAUUUAGUUCCCAGCCCUGAUCCUUCUGCAGCUAUGACUCUGUAAUGCCCACAACAUUGUACUUGCCAAUUUCAAUCUGUGCUACAAGCUCAUUUACUUUGUUUCUGCAUGCAUUUAAGUACGACACCCUCAGUCCUAUGUUGACUGCGCCUCCCCUUCUCAUAAUUGUCCUCUUAUCUGCUGUGCCUGCAGUUAGAUUCCUACCCCUUUCCAUACUCUCAGUCCUUUAAUUUGUUCUGAAAACUUUUGUAACUUCUGUCCCCCAUUUUAACUAGGUUCAAGUCCUUGUGACCAUCCCAUUUAGCCUUUCCGGUAGAAUCCUGGUCCCUGAUUGGUUCAGGUGAAGCCUGUCCCAACAGUACAUUUCCUUCCUGUUGCAAUACUGAUGCUAGUGCCCCACAAAAUGGAACCCCUCUUUCUUUUGGCCAAGUGUCCAUUUCUCUAAUUUUCUUAUCUCUGUAGCAAUUUGCACAUGACUUAGGUAAUAAUCCAGAAACUAUAAACCCUUGAGGUCCUGUUCUUUAAUUUUGUUCCUAAUUCCCAAUAUUCCUCAAUUCUGACUUCUUGUCUACUCUUGCUUAUGUUGUUGGUCCAAUGACUGAAUCCUCCCCCUUCCAAUCCAAAAUCCUUUCAAGCCAGUCAAAGCAUGAUAUCUGUACCCCCCCGCCUAAUGAUAGAAUCCCCUACCACAAUUCUUUUUGCUCCCCUCACUUGAACGGGCUGUACCAUGGUGCAGUGGCCCAUCCUCCCCACAGCUCUUUUCCUCAUCCUACACAGGGAACAAGUGCCUCAUAUCUGUCAGACAAGGUCAAGAGCUGAGGGGCAGAGCUCCAGAGGGUAAAGCCUAGAUGGUUGAAGGCAUGUUUGACAGUUUUUGGAUGAAAAAGGGAAACAUGAAAGAGAAAUUGAGAGCUCUUGCAUGUUGGAGUAGAGACAGACAAUAAAUUUAAACAUAAACGAUGAGGCAUUUAGAAACUGGGAGCCAAUGAAAGUCAUUUAGGAUGGAGUAAUUAGAUCACUAUCUGCAACAAGAUAUAAUUUGAGACACAGAAUUUUGGAAGAGCUGCUGCAUAUUAAUAGCAAAGGAUUGAAACCCAGGCCAAGGUAGCACUGAAAUAAUUAUUUUUAAAGAUGAUGAAAGCAGUAAUGAGUGUUUCAACAGCAACCAGGCUAAGGCAGAUGUACCAAAAAUCAAAGUUAUGGAUGCAGAUGUAGACAAUCUCCAUUACAGAAUUAAAUGGCAUCCUGAACUUUUACAGAUGCACCAUAGAAAGCAUUCUAUCUGAAUGCAUAAUGGCUUGGUAGAGCAAUUUCUCUGCCCAGGACCAUAAGAAAACACAGAAAGUGGUGUGCACAGCUGAGACCAUCACAGAAGCCAACCUCCCAUCCGUGGACUCCAUCUACACUUCUUGUUGCAGCGGAAAAGCUGCCAACGCCUUCAAAGACUCCUCCCACCCCGGUACUCAUUGGCCAUUUGUAUACCACUCAAAAGCUCAUCAUUGAAAAUCAGUGAAACUGGCAUUCGAAGUUAACAUGUAUUUUGGAAGAGUAAAUUUGUCUGUCAACAUCUAUUCAACUAUCUGGAAUUCAUGGCAUCCCAGCCAUCAAAGAACUAAAGCUUCUUUCUCCUGCAUAUACCACAGAUUAAAAGAUUUUCAUGAUGGUGGUUUGGCAUCAUUGUAAUCAGUUCAUUUAAUUUCACUGCUAAUUCAGUUCUACAAUACCAGUGAUUGGAUAACCAAUAUUGAAUAACCAAUAUUUUAUGAUAUUGGUGAAAUGGUACAGGUCAGUUGUAUACAUUUUUGUAUAAUUCUAAUGCUUUGGGUUCUUUAACAAACAGUGACAAGAUGAUAUACGAAUGGUUAAAAAUUAAAACUGAUUCUCUGCAUAAUCAAAAAAAAACCUGAAGAUAAACUCACUUACAAAGUAAAGUUGAAGUGUAUGCUCUUGGCUAAUGUUUUGCACGAGAAUAAUCUCUACAAAUAUUUACAUUGUUAGUGUCCUAAUUUUGAAAUGGUCCAAUUUAUUUAUAACCUGCUCUUCGCACUAUUGAUGGAAUGGUUCUGUACCAAAACACCCUGAUACAUUUUAAAUAAAUAACCUUACUGCA